rnacentral:lncRNA from 1 species
AUGCACUCAAUGCUGGCGGCUGUUGGCUUGUAUUUCUCUCUAACAAUUUAAAUCACCAGCUUGCUUCAUCCAUCUAUAAAUAAGGGUCUUCUUCAGUUUCAUAAAUGCAUAGAAAAUUAACAAGCUCAAAUUCCUUCUUUUCAUAUUCAUCUCUUUCAUUUUGAAUUGCAACUUUAUCCUGCCUAAAUUCCUCAACAAUGAACCACCCAUCAGGACAGCCUCAAAAUGAACUUCCUUGGUCCGCCGGAUUCUGAGAUUGUUGCUCUGACCUGAAAACUUGUAACCCUUUCUUCUUUCUUCAAUAUCAGUUGUGUCUUUUUAAUUAUAUGAAUUAGUUUAUCAAUUAAAUAUAUGGACAUUUCAGGUUGCAUUUCAUACUGGUGCCCAUGCAUCACCUUUGGCCAGAUUGCUGAGAUUGUUGAUAAAGGGUCGACUUGUAAGUUAUUAAUUUCUAAAUUGAAAUCUUAUCAUCUUAGGUUUGCAGACAUAUAUAUAUAUUUAAAGAGAUAUUAUGUAAUUAAUAAUAAUGUUGAAAAACACUGUUGGAUGGUGCAGCAUGUGGGGCAAGUGGGGCACUAUACACAUUAAUAAUGUUCAUCACCGGGUGUGGGUGCUUAUAUUCUUGCUGCUACCGAUCCAAACUGAGAAAGCAGUAUAACUUGAAAGGAGGCGAUUGUGGCGAUUGCAUGCGUCAUUUCUGCUGCGAGCCUUGUGCCUUGACACAAGAGUAUCGUGAGCUCCAGAACCGUGGAUUCGACAUGUCUAUCGGUAUGUCUACAUACCAAUAUUAUACCCCUUUUAAUUAUUCUUAAUAUAACUUCAAGUAUAUUAAUUGAGUAGCUGUAAACAAAUAUCUCCGAAUAAAUAUGUUGGUAAUGAUGAGAUAAAUUAUUGUUUGAGGUCAUUAAUUUUGUGGGGGUAUAUUUAUAUAUGCAGGUUGGCAUGCAAAUGUGGAGAAGAACCCAGGGCUGGCAAUGGCUCCAGCGGUAGAAAAAGGCAUGAGCAAAUAGAUGAUGAUGAUGAUGAGACCACUGCAUUAAUAUCAUCUUUACAUGUAACACUUAAUUCCUUGGCUUUCCAUAAUUGGUUGAUUGUACGGCUUGCCAAUUGAAUUUCAAGUUAUGUAUGUUUGUGAUUGUCAAAUAUAUUAAUAAAAAGUGUUACUAUUCAUGUUAGAUCUUCAUGAAUAAGAAUGAGAAUCGAAAAUAACUUGUAAUAUUGUGUGUGCAUGUUUGGUAUUUAGGUGAAAUACUUAGAAAGAGAGGUUGGAUUAAAUUAAUUUUUUAUUAUCAAAAUGGAUGAUUUUAAUUUUUAUAUUAAUAAAAAGAAUUAAAUAAAAUUAAUAUUUAUUGUUUUAGAAAAUGACAUCAAAUUAUUGUUUUUUAUAGUUCAAUCCAAAUAAAAUAUCUACAAAAUCAUUAAAAACUUUUAAAAUGUGACUUUGUUAAAUAGUAAAUAGCAUUUUUUUAAAAGGGUUCAUAUAUAUCGUGAUACCUAAAGUUGGCAACUUCUACUUAGUAUCUAAAUCGGUACAUAAACUUGAAAAUUGUAAGUCAACUUCGUAUUUUUAUAAGUAUGAUGAUGUUGGUGUAGUGUGAGGAAGAAGACUUGAAUGGGUUUGAUUAUUUUUAAUAAUACAGGAAUUUACAUAUUAUAAGUAAAUAGACACUCACAUUCUUUAUGUAUUAUAAGGAAGAAGACUAAGUCGAUCUACUUUGUAAUCUCAUCAAUCUUAAUUUUCUCAAUUGUUAAGGGAGUUCAAAUGAAAUACAAAAUUUUGGUAAAAAAAAGUAUCCAAUUUUGUGAAUAAAAAAUAUAUGGUAAAAAAGAUUUGGUAUCGAUACUUCGGCGCGGGUAUCAAUACUCGAUACAUUGCUUUUGGUUGGAAAGUAGUGUCUGGAACGGCCAUGGGAUGUGUUGUUUUCCAAACCGGUAAGGCGAAAAGGUUUGUGAAUUUGGUUGAAGACCAACAUGAGAAGAGGCGAAGAAGAAAACCAAAAUAUAGCAAUCGCAUCAAUGGAUGAAGAAGGAUCUAGUUGGUGCAAAUGAAGUUAAAGCAUUUGUGCUGUGUCUUCAUAAUUUCUUGUUUAGUAGUCUGUCAGAAAGUUUUUCCUAUGGUGAAAAGUUGCAUUGGUAUGUGUCUGUCUUUAUGAUUGUACCAAUUCCUCUGUAUUUCAUUGCAUUUCGUACUAUUUGUAAGGGUUUAGUUCGAGUGUAACAUCUUGUAUGGUGCAACUAUGUAUGUCUUCUUUCUUGAUUAUUGAAAUUAUAAUCAAAAUUAAUACAUGUUCUUUUUAUUAGCUUAAGGGCGUAAAAACACUUCAAAAUUUUCAAAAAAUAAAAUAAAAUUUUAAGUCCCUCUUUUUUUUACACUCAAUUGAAAUUUUUAAAAUGUAUCAAAAAUAUCUUUACAGUUCUUCAAAAAAAAAAACAAUUAAACCCCUAUUUUUUUUCCGCUCAAUUGGGUACUUGAACUUUCAUAAUGCAUCAAAAAUGCCUUAAAUUUUUUUCAAAAAAGCAAUUAAGCCCCUACUCUUAUUAAAAAUUAGAAAAAAAUCAUAAAAAUAAUAAAUUUUAGAAAAAAUUAUUAAAUUUUAAUAAAAAUUUAAAAUUUUAUUAAAAAUUAGAAUUUUUUUUUAGAAAAAUCGUCAAAAAAUAAAAAAUUAUAAAAUCCAUCAAAAAGUUUUAACAAUUAACUUUAACUAUUGAUCGUUAAAGUUAACGACCUCUAGUUUUUUCAAUUAAAGUCAUUAUGUGUCGCAACUCAACGUGACAUGUAGCGAAAAUAGAUAAAAAAGUAAAAAUCAAUAAAAGUUAUAGAAAAAUUAUAAAAUAUUUCUUUUGGUAGAAUAAUUUUUAUAAAUUUUUUUUACAAAAUUUAUAUUUCUUUACAUUUUGUAUAAUUUUCUUAUAACUUUAUAAAAUUUUAUAAAUUUUUAUAUUUCUAUAUAUUUUAAAAUUUUUUAAAAUUUUUAUAAAAUUUUACAAUUUUUAUAUAUUUUUAAUAAAUUUUUAAUAUUUGAUUUUUUAUUAAAAUUUAAUAAUAUUAUAGAUUUUAUUGAUUUUAAUUUUUUAUCUAAUUUUUAAUAAAAUUAGGGGGUUAAUUGCUUUUUUUUUAAGUUUGAGGGUCUUUUUGAUGCAUUUUGAAAGUUCAAGUACCCAAUUGACUGCAAAACAAAAAGAAAAAAAGUAGGGGCUUAAUUGCUUUUUUUGAAAAUGUUUGAGGGCUUUUUUGAUGUAUUUUGAAAGUUCAAGUACCCAAAUGAGUGCAUAAAAAGAACAGGGGUUUAGUUGCUAUUUUGAAAAAGUUUGAGGGCUUUUUGCACCUUUAAACCUCUUUUCUUUUUCUAAAUUUAAUUUAGAACCAACUUUGUGUAAAGACUUGGGAAAUUUAAUUAGCAAAAUUUCUUUCCAUGUAAAAAUUUCCCCUAUUUCUUGUUUGAAUUUAAAGCAAUACAAUAUUUUUCUAGCAAAUAAUAGAAAAUGACAGUCAAUUAAUUCCAGCAAUACAACAUUUCCAGUCUGGUGGAAAACAGCUAGGGACCAAAUUUUUAAAGUGUUGUUUACUACACACUUAGGGACCAUAUAUGUAUAUAUAUAUAUUCCAGUCUGGGUCUUUGUCGUGUUUUGUUGGUUGGCUAUGGCCUUCUUGUUGUUUCAUGGCCACUGCCCGUGAAUUAAGUCAUAUGUGGCCUUGUUUGCUAGACCUUAGUUGCUAAGUUAAAGGGAGUGAAUAGAGCACCAUAUUUCUUCUUCUGCGUGGAAAAUAAGUUGGCAUUAUGCCAAAUUCCACAUUCAUACAUAGAAAGGAAGCAAGGCCAAGUCAUUAUACUUUGUAAUCUCAUCAAUUCUAAUUAUUUCACUUCUUCAUUCUUUAGGGAGUUCAAGUGAAAUACAAAUUUUUCCACAUCCAAUCUCAUAAAUAAUCCGUCUUUGAACUUUCACAAAAAAAUAUUAAAUACCCAUUCACUUUAAUUCUACUAUUCUUAAAUCAUUCAAGUUUUGUGGAAAAUAUGCUUCUUGGAUAAAAUUAUUCAACACACAUGCCUUGAAUUUUAUGCAAUAAAAUAAAUCAAUAUAGGCCACACAUGCUUUGAAUAUUUAAGUAGUCCACAAUUUUGUUCGUUUGUGUGCAAAAUUCUACAUUGCUUGACAGCCAUACAUUCUAAGUAAAUAGACACCCACAUUGUUUACGUAUUAUGAAGAAGAAGACUAAGUCAGUCUACUUUGUAAUCUCAUCAAUCUUAAUUUUCUCAGUUAUUUAGGGAGUUCAAAUGAAAUACAAAAUUUUGGGAAAAAAAAUGUAUCCAAUUUUGUGAAUGAAAAAUAUAUGGUAAAAAGGAUUUGGUAUGGAUACUUCGGCUCGGGUAUCAAUACUCAGGGUAAGUUUAUCGAUACAUUGCUUUUGGUUGGAAAGUGGUGUUGAUAGGUGAUGACUAAAAUUUGAUAAAUUUGAAAAGUACAUGAAAUUUAACGAUUAUUGUUUGGUGAUGACUAAAAUUUUAAAAUUUGAAAAGUACAUGAACUAAAAAUGACCAAAUUAAAGUAUAAAGAUUAAGUCCACAACUUUUGCAAAGUACAAGGACUAAUAGCAGAAAUUAACCUAAAUUUCAUAUGGGUCAAUUACAAAAAUAAUCACUAAACUAUUCCUUUGGUUCUAUUCUAGUCACUCAACUAUAGAGGUGCUCAUGGGCUGAGCCAGGUCAAGCCUAAGUAUGAUAUUAAUGUAUUUUAUACUUGCUCAAGCUUGGCUCGGCCUGAAAUAUGAGCUUAAAAUUUUGCCUGAACUCAUCCAUAUUUGCAAAAGACUAACCCAAGCUCAUUUUAAGCAUGCCUAUAUAAUUUUUAAUUUUUUUUAAAUAUUUAUAUUAUAUUAUAUUAAUUAAUAAUUUAAACAUUUUUUAUUUAUUAAAAUUUUUUAUAGUCAUUUUAACAUUAUUUUAAUGUUUACAUUAUAGUAUUAUUAUAUAUUUAGUAUAAGUAUUUUUUUAAUAUGUUCUAAUUUAUAUAAUAUAAAGUAUUAUACACUUAAAAACGGGCCGGGCUGGGCUUGAGCUUUAGUUGUUACUCAACUAUUAAUUUUUUCGAUUUAGUUGUUAACCUUUUCAAAAGUAAAUAUUUUAGUCAGUCUCCUAUUAGUUGUUGUUAAAUGAGUGACGGAAAGCUAAUGUGAGCUUUUUUUAUUAGUCUAAUAACAAAUUUAGCCCUCCAAUGUUUACACAUUCUAUCAAUUUGAUCGUAAAUAUAAAAAAAAAAUCAACAAAUUUAGCCCUGAAUAUUAACAAAACUUGUCAUUUUAGUUCAAAUUCUAAAAAAUUUAAUAAAUUUAACCUUUAAUAUUUUCAAAAAAAUAGCAAUUUAGUUCUAAUUCUAAAAAUUUUAAUAUAUAUAUUUAAAAAAAUAUUUCUAAUCCUCUGUCUCACCCUUUGAUUUUUUAGAUGAGCUAAAAUCAAAAUAUAUCAUUAUGUCUUUUUGUUUUAAUGCUAAAAGAGAUAAAAAAAAAUGGAAAGCUAAAAUGGCUUUUCGUUUGUGAAGUUAAAAAAUGCCAAAUAAAUUAUUAUGUCUUUUUAGUUUUAAUUUUUUACUUGAUUAAAAGAGAAAUAAUUAACGAAUGAAAAAUAAUUAUUCACAAAUAAAUUUAUCAGAAUUUAUAACAAAUGAGAUUUUAAAUUUGAAUUUAUAAAUCAAAAUUUAUAUAUAUAUAUAUAUAUAUAUAUAUAUAAAAGAAAACACAUUUUUAUGAAAUAUAAGAUUUUGUUAAAAGAAAGAGCAUAUAAAAGCAUACACGUUUUUAUGAAAUACAAGAUUUUGCUAAAAGAAAAAGCAUCCAAUUUUAAGAAUGAAAAAUAUGUGGUAAAAGCAUCCAUAACUUUUCAAUGUAAAAGAAAAAAAAACUGUAACACCAAUGUUGUGGUAUUAUUUGUUGCCUAUAAAUACCAUUCCUAUCCUUCAUCUUCCUCUACCAACAUAACAUGGCCUCCUCCUAUCUCUUUCUCUUUCUCUGCCUAUUCCUCUUCUUUCCCCAUCUUUAUGCUUCUUUUUCUUCUUCAGGAUCUCACUCCUGCUCUUCACUAAUCCAGUUUAAGGACUCUUUUUCCAUAACAGAGGAUGCUUCUUCUGAUUGCAAUGAGAUUGCUGGCCAUAAAUUUUAUCCCAAGACCAAUUCAUGGAAGGAGGGUACAGAUUGCUGCUCAUGGGAUGGGGUCACUUGCGACCACCUAAAUGCUCAUGUUAUUGCCCUUGACUUGAGCUGCAGUUGGCUAUAUGGCAACUUCCCUUCCAAUUCCACUCUCUUCCUUCUUCCUCACCUUCAAAAACUCAACCUUGCCUACAAUUAUUUUAAUCUUUCCAAAAUUCCAUCCGAGUUCGGUCGGUUUACAAGCCUAUUCUACCUCAACCUUUCUUAUACAUGGUUUGCAGGAGAAGUCCCAUCCCAAGUCUCCCACCUGUCAAAAUUGGUUUCACUUGAUCUCUCCUUUUGGAUUGAUAACUAUGAGCAACUUACAAUUGACAAACAUGCUCUGGAGGGACUUGUUCACAACCUAACCGAGGUCAGACAUCUGUUUUUGGAUGGAAUCAACAUGACUUCUGUUAAUGCUCAUGUCUUCAUGAAUCUAUCCUCUUCUCUAAGAUCUCUCAGUCUUGCUGGUUGUGAUUUGCAAGGAAAAUUCCCAAAAAACAUUUUUGAUUUGCCAAACCUCAAUCUCCUCAACUUGGGAGGCAACCAAUUGAGUGGACAAAUUCCAAGAUCAUUGGGGAACCUCUUGCAACUCACUGUUUUAGACUUGUGGGGGAACAAAUUGAGUGGACAAAUUCCAUUGUCAAUUCUAAACCUAACGCAGUUGGAAUACUUGGUAAUAUCUGAAAAUUCUUUAGAAGGUUCUAUUCCAGAUGAGGUAACCGCUGUUCCGAAUCUAAUAUAUUUAGUCUUAUAUGACAAUUUACUCAAUGGAACACUUCCGUCAUGGUUGUAUACUGCUCCCUCCUUAAAGGGUAUAAUUCUCUCUCAAAAUCAAUUCAGUGGGCAUAUCAAAGAAUUCCAAACCAAAUCACUAGAAUAUUUAGAUCUAGAAAAUAAUAAACUCCAAGGUCCCCUUCCAUCUUCAAUAUUCCAACUUCUCAAUCUUACCGGGCUCCUUUUAUCCUCAAAUAAUCUUAGUGGUGUCAUAGAGUUUCGCAUGUUCUCAAACCUUCCAAAUCUCAAAUAUCUUUACCUUUCAUAUAACAACCUAUCCUUAACAUCUAAUUCUACUUCUACUGUUAAUCAUAUAUUGCCUAAUCUUACAGACGUACUUUUGUCAUCUUGCAAUCUUAGUGAAUUCCCCCAGUUUUUAAAAGGGCUUAAAAGUUUGGAAAGCUUAGACCUCUCUUGCAACAAAAUUGAAGGCAAGAUUCCACAGUGGAUGCAAGAGGUGGGGAAUGUCUCUUUGACUUACUUCAACGUAUCUCACAACUCUUUGACAGAAGUUGAGCACUUUCCAUGGAAGAAUAUUGAAAGGCUUGACUUAAGCUCCAAUUUGAUCAGUGGAAAUCUUCCGAUUCCAGCUUCGACCAUCAGUGUCUUUUUUAUCUCAAAUAAUAGUUUCAAUGGAGAGGUCUCUUCUUUAAUAUGCAAUGCCAGUUCUCUUCGAAUUCUUGAUUUGUCCCACAAUAACUUGAGUGGACCAAUUCCGCAAUGUUUUGGAAAUUUGAGUGACAGCCUUGAAAUCUUGAAUCUGAAGAAGAACAAGUUCUAUGGGACGAUUCCUCCAAAAUUUGCAAAGGGAUGCCGAUUGACUAAUUUCAACUUAAAUGGAAAUCUGUUAGAAGGGCCAUUGACUCCAUCCAUCCUUAAUUGUAGGGGUCUGGAAGUGCUAGAUCUUGGUAACAACAAGAUCAAUGAUACAUUUCCUCAUUGGUUGGGAAGUCUUCCACAGCUACAAGUUCUUGUAUUGAAGUCAAAUCAUAUGCAUGGUUCCUUAUGUGUCAAUAGCUCUAAGUCUAGCCCUUUUUUCUCUAAAAUCCAAAUUUUUGACCUCUCAAGUAACUAUUUUUCUGGACCCCUACCAGUGAGAUACAUCAACAGCUUCAAGGCUAUCAUAAAUGUAGAGAAGAUUGGUAGUACAGUGUCGUACAUGGGGGUGAAUGAUGAUGGAGGUGACUUCUAUACCUAUUCCAUUGGAAUUGUCAUGAAAGGGAGAGAUAUGGAAUUGGUGAAAAUUUUCACCAUGUGGAUGAUCAUUGAUCUAUCAAACAAUCAGUUUGAAGGGGGUAUUCCAGAGGUUUUUGGGAAGCUUAACUUACUGAAAGGGCUCAACCUUUCUCAUAAUAACCUUAAUGGUGGUAUCCCCACCUUAAUAGGGAAUUUGACAAGUCUUGAAUGGUUGGACCUAUCUUCAAACAGGUUGUCUGGGACGAUUCCAAAUAGAUUGGCAGAUCUGCCAUUUCUUUCGUCCUUCAAUGUUUCUGAAAAUCAACUCCAUGGUCAGAUUCCUCAAGGCAAACAGUUCAACACAUUUGGAAAUGAUUCAUAUGAAGGAAACAAGGCAUUAUGUGGAUUUCCGGUCUCAAAAGGUUGCAACAUCAUUGAGCCAGCACCUCCAAAUGUGCUUGAAAAAGAUGGCUCAAAAUCAAACAUUACUUUUGGUUGGAAAGUGGUGUUGAUAGGUUAUGGAUGCGGAGUGGUGUUCGGAAUGUCCGUGGGAUAUGUUGUUUUCCAAACUGGUAAGCCGAAAUGGUUGGUGAAUUUGGUUGAAAUCCAACAUGAGAAGAAGCGAAGAAGAAAGUCAAAGGAUGGCAGUCGCAGCAAUGGACGAAGAAGAAUCUAGUUAGUGGAAAUGAUGUUCAAGUGUUGAUGUUGUAUCUUCAUAAUUUCUUGUUUUGAAGUCUGUCAAAUUUUUUUCCUAUCGUGAAAGGCUGCAUUGCCAUGCAUCUGUCUUUUUUAUUGUAACCAUUCAUCUAUAUUUCAUUGCAUUACGUAGUAUUUGUAAGGGUUUGUUUUAAAUGUAACAUUUUGUAUGGUUCAACUAUUUAUGUCUCUUUCAUGAGUUUCAUUUUUGAGUCUCAAUAAUCUCUGCAUUCAAGAUUUUGUCAGCUUAUUAAUUGGUGGAUCAAUAAUCUUCAUGCUCAUCUCAUCAUCUUUUUCUCGAGUUAAACACAGUCACUACUAUAAUAAUUUCUUCUGUGUGGAAAAUAAUUUGGCAUUCUGCAAAUUUCCACAAUGCUUGUGGAUUACCUCUGGUUGACGGCUAUACAUAUAAAGGAAGGAAACAAGACUAUGUCAAAAUUUCCAAAAAUCAGUCAUUCAUUUUUGAACAAUUAAACAUUCCUAUUCUAUUUUUCAAAAUUGUAAAUCCUCAAAUAAUGUAAAUUAGUCCUAAAACUCAAGUUUUGAAAUCUUUACAAUUUAACCCCUUAUAGUUUCAAACUUUACUAUUUUAUGCUCAACUUUCUAAAUCUUCAUAUUUCAUGAUCAUAUAAUUUAGUUAUUACAUCAAUAUUUCAGAUUUCACUACUCAAACCCUUACUUCAUUUUGGUCCUUACUUCAAUUUUUUCAAAUUAAAUCAAUUUUCAAUUUGACUGCAUUGAUGUGAAAUUGAGGGAGCACUAAACAAUGUUGAUGCGAGUUUAGGUAAAAUUGGUGGAUCCCAUCUCCUUAGUAAUUUCUUUAUGGAAGUAGCUGCUUUCACACUGCAAACUUGAAUAGUUUGUGGUGGACGAUGAUGAAUCAUUUGACAAUCAAACACAUAAUUUUUAAACACAAAAUUAACGAUAUUUUGAAAUCAUUAUUGAAAUUAUAAUCAAAAUUAAUACAUGUUCUUUUUAUUAGCUUAAGGUCGUAAAAACCCUUCAAAAUUUUCAAAAAAAAAAAAAAUUUAAGUCCCUCUUUUUUUUUUUCUAAUUUUUAAUAAAAGUAGGGGCUUAAUUGCUUUUUUUUUUUUAAGUUUGAGGGUCUUUUUGAUGCAUUUUGAAAGUUCAAGUACCCAAUUGAGUGCAAGAAGAAAGUAGGGGCUUAAUUGCUUUUUUUUAUGUAUUUUGAACGUUCAUGUACCCAAAUGAGUGCAUAAAAAAAACAGGGGUUUAGUUGCUAUUUUUGAAAAGGGUUUGAGGGCUUUUUGCACCCUUAAACCUCUUUUCUUUUUCUAAAUUUAAUUUAGAACCAACUUUGAGUAAAGACUUGGGAAAUUUAAUUAGCAAAAUUUCUUUCCAUGUAAAUAUUUCCCCUAUUUCUUGUUGGAAUUUAAAGCAAUACAAUAUUUUUGUAGCUAGUAACAGAAAACGACAGUCAAUUAAUUCCAAGCAAUACAAAAUAUCCAGUCUGGUGGAAAAUUUGUUUGUUAGAUUCUAUUAUUCAACUUUUAAGGCAUAAGUCUGAAUAUAGGGACUAAAUUUUUAAAGUGUUGUUUAUUUUAAAAUCUAUUAAUAUAUACACACUUAGGGACCAUAUAUAUAUAUAUCAUAUAUAUAUAUAUAUAUUCCAUUCUGGAUCUUUGUCGUGUUUUGUUGGUUGGCUCUGGCCUUGUUGUUGUUUCCACUGCCUGUGGUCUCUGUUUCUAAGUCAUAUGUGGCCUUGUUUGCUAGACCUUAGUUGCUCUUCACAUGUCUUGUAUUUUGUCAAGUUAAUUGAAAUGGAAAAUAAAAGUGUUGGCAUUACAGAUUAGAGUAAAAGGAAUUAGUGUUGAAGUUGGGGUUGUUCAAUUGUUGGAAUUCAUGUGUGUAUUUUUUUGAGUAUCUGGGUCUUUGUCGUGUUUUCUUGGUUGGCUAUGGCGGCCUUCUUGUUGUUCCCACUGUCUGUGGUAUUUGUUUCUAAGUCAUAUGUGGCCUUGUAUGCUAGACCUUAGUUGCUAAGUUAAAGGGAGUGAAUAGAGCACCAUAUUUCUUCUUCUGCGUGGAAAAUAAGUUGGCAUUAUGCCAAUUUCCACAUUCAUACAUAUAAAGGAAGCAAGAGCAAGUCAAUAUACUUUGUAAUCUCAUCAAUUCUUCUUCUUUCUUUAGGGAGUUCAAAUGAAAUACAAAUUUUUGGUAAAUCAACUCUUCAUUUUUAUGAAUAAAAAUUAUAUGGUAGAAAGGAAGUGGUGUUAAUAAUAAUAAUAAUAAUAAAAAGAUUAACAAUAGAACACUAAUAAAGCAAUUUAGUCUAUGAUCUGCACAAUAUAUUACUACAAAUGUACCGUACAGAAUAUUGAAAGAAAACUAAUAAAGAAGUUCGAAAUUUAAACAAUGUUCCGCAAAUUAUGUUUAUGAUCUGCUGUAAAUUGAUAUGUUAAAUCAACUCUUCAUUUUUAUGAAUAAAAAUUAUAUGGUAAAAAGGAAGUGGUGUUAAUAAUAAUAAUAAAGAUCAACAAUAGAAAACUAAUAAAGCAAUUUAGUCUAUGAUCUGCAUAAUAUAUUACUACAAAUGUACCGUACAGAAUAUUGAAAGAAAACUAAUAAAGAAAUCCGAAAUUUUAACAAGGUUCCGCAAAUUAUGUUUAUGAUAUGAUGUAAAUUGAUAUGUCAAAUUUUGUGGCAAGUAAUAGAAAAUGACAAAUUCCACAUUCAUACAUAUAAAGGAAGCAAGAUCAAGUCAAUAUACUUUGUAAUCUCAUCACUUCUUCUUCUUUCUUUAGGGAGUUCAAAUGAAAUACAAAAUUUUGGUAAAUCAACUCUUCAUUUUUAUGAAUAAAAAUUAUAUGGUAAAAGGAAGUCUUGUUAAUAAUAAUAAUAAGAUUAACAAUAGAAAACUAAUAAAACAAUUUAUCCAAAUAUCAAAAUAAAUAUUAACUUUUUCAGAAACCAAAAUUAUUUUCUAAAAAUUAUUUUUUAAAAACUAUUUUUAGUGAAACAAACUGAGUCUUAGCCCAUAUUGUAAAUUAUUUUGUGGGUCUGGAAUUCUUGUACAUUAUGCUGCAAAAGAGUGAAAUUUCCUUACAGCUAGUCGAUCAAGUUUGGUUGAAAUUGAAUGCAUUGAUGUGAAAUUGAGGGAGCCUAAACAAUGUUGAUGCGAGUUUAGGUAAAAUUAGUGGAUCCCAUCUCCUUAGUAAUUUCUUUAAGGAAGUAUCUGCUUUCACACUGUGUUGACAACUUCCCACAGAUCAAAGGCCUGCAGGUAAGUCUUCAUAUUUACCAGCCAUAUGUGAAAACCUUCUCCAUUGAAGACUGGUGGGACUGCUGGUGAAAAUCCUGAAGAAGCCAUCAGGUUUCUUGAUUUGAAGCAACAGGUCCACUAAGAAAAGGGCUCUAGAUACCAAUUGUUGGUGUAAAAGGGCAGAAGCAAACUGAUUUAAGCUUGCUUAUACAGCAAGCCUCGAGCCUUGUAGAAGAAACAAUCUCAGCAGAAAGCAAAAAUGAAGCUUGCAGUUGGAAAAACAAGAAAACAAGGAGAGAAUUUGAAUGAAAAACAAGCUGAGUUGUUCAUUAACAUUACAACAAGGCAUAUUGCCAUUACAUAUAUCAGUUAACUUGUCAAAUAAACAAGUAAUCACCUAAUCAAUUACCUAACACCACUAAUAUGCAUUGAAACUUACAAAAUUAGCUUGCAAACAUUACAUUGCUGAUAUUUCAGUCAAUCAACAUCAAAAUUACACCAAAACAUUCACCUGCUUAGUUCAAUGUGAACUAGAUUACAAAAUGAUUAAAAUACAACUAAAACAACAAGUGGUUCAGUAACUUGAAGCUUCAGCUGCUGCACACCAUGGCUCGAUUGCCUGCUGCCAUUUCUUCUUGCAUGGCCACCUUUGCAUGGGAACUAAACUCAACAUACACGAACUAAUGCAAAUAUGCUAGUGGUUUAUUUUCCACCUAUCUGAUUUUUUAAAAUGUUCUUCAGUUACACCAGUUGAUGCAAUCUAUUAUUACCUGCCUCGUUGCAAAAAGGUUAGGAAAUAAAUUCACCGACAAUCAUUGGGAACUAAGAAACUUCGCAGCAAAGCUAGUGGCAUCAAUAUGCAAAAGGUGAAGAUUCUUUUCUUUUGGACUUAUACAUGCAUAUUCGUUUUUAUGAAUUUCAGGUGUCUGAGUUUUUAGUUAUAAACUUGGAUCUAUUCUUCAAAUCAUGUGUAUAUCAUUUUUAUGCUAUUUCACACUUGCAAAACAAAUGGUGCGAGCGUGCAUGUUAUAUGCAGAAUACAUAGAUUAAUUACAUGUGGAUCAUUAAGCAUGCCUAUGUUUGACGAUUGUGUGUGGCUACCUUUUUUUACAUGAUCCAAUUUUCGAUAUGCUUUGCUUUUAGGUUGAAUGCGGAAAAGAUUAGAACUUAAUUUCCAGCAUAAUGAUUUGUCUUGGAUAUGCAGAUUUUACAUGCAUUUCUUACAAGUCAAUAUUUUAUAGAUUUGGGCAUGUUUAUCACAAUCUUCAGCCACGUGUGACAAGGACACUGCUCCACGCUUUUUUGGACCCAACGAAAACAUUUCCCCAGUAUUACGGAGCAAUUCAAGGGUUAGCAGCCCUUGGACCCAGUGUGGUAUAAUUCUAAUCUCAAAUAUUUACUAGCAACACAAUAAGAUACUUGUUUGUGGGAUCAAUUGGUCAAAGAUAUUGCAAUGAUAGCCAUCUUUUUAAGCCCAUUUCUUUCAGAAAACUGUUUUGUCACUCUUUUCUGCAAGAUCCGAAGAAAGAAAGAACAUGGAAAUCUUUAGUCCAAAAGUGUAAAUAUGCGGUUUCUCUAUAGCUAUCUUGAUUAUGGCAUCUGUAAAGUUUGUCUUUCAUAUGUUUGGCUAACGCUUCUUCAUCCAUAUGUAGGUUCGUUUACUUAUACUACCAAACCUUGAAGCGUAUUUGCAGCUUCAUGAACCUGAAAUAAAAAGACACGAGGCCUGGUGUUUUUAUGGGGCCCUGCUGGUAAGUUUAACAUCAAAUUUGGUACCAGUUUACGAGCAUCAUUUCAUUUAUUUGCUAUAGAACUAACAACACUGCAUAAAAUUUCCACUAAAAGCGUGCAGCUGGACUGUGCAUGUAUGAUCGGCUUAAAAUGUUCCCCAGUUUGCUAGCACCCCCAACUCGGCCCGUCUGGAAAAGCAACAACAAAGUUGCGACAAGUAUGAUUUCUUCGAACCAUCAUAUUUACACUUAAUCCACAGGUCUCUUCUCCCCCUUUACGAUUUUCCUUUUUCUGAUCAAUCAAGAUAAACGAAAAGCAAGCACGGACGCCUUGAUGCAGCAGCAACCACCUGCGAAGAAAAUAGCAACUGAGAGUGCAAUAGGUAUGAUGCCAAUAAAUUCCAUGCAAACUGAUUUACAAGGGGCAGUUAGCAGCUUUUCUACCACCGUAGGAGGUUCCAAUAUCGGUGUAUCAUCAAUGUCACGGCCGUUAUCAAACGAUAACAUGCUAGGAAGGGAGGUUGGGGGUCGAGUUUCAAGGACAUCAACCGUUCUAGCUCAGGCUUGGAAGGAAGACACAGACCCAGGGAACUUGUUAGCAUCAUUAUUUGAACUUUUUGGUGAAAGUAUGUAAUUAAAAUAAUAUAUUGGCUUAACCCUCCUAAAUUAUGUAUUUUUUUCCAUCUUGGGACCUAAAUUUUUUUGGGGUCAUAAGUGGUACCUAAACUACAUUUUUUCUCCUUCAAAUUAGUAUCUUCAUUAAUUAAACCGUUAAGUCUAUUUAAAAAAGAAAGACUCGAACAACAAAUUAAUACCUAAACAGUGCUCUUUUUCUCAAGGUACCUAAUUUUUAUUUUGGCCAUAAGUACUACUAAAACUAUUCUUCCGUUACUCAUUUUACACCAAAAUGUUAUAUCGGCUGAAAAGAUUCCAACAAAUAAUAGAUUGUAUGUUAUAUAAACUUUUAAAAAUAAUUAUUAUUUAAUUAAUUUUUUAUAUUUUUCUUUCUUAUUCCUUUCUAAUGUUUGGCAAUGCUGAUAAUGUUUGAAAUUGUCCCACUUGAGGUCAAAAUACUGGUGAUUAAUUUUGGUUUUGAAUUUCACCACCUACUUCUUUGACCUAAGGGGAUAGAAAAUGUUCUUUUAUCGAUCAAAACUAGUAUUUUCAAAAACAGAUUGAUUCAACUGGUUGGAUAGGAAAUCGGUCUGGAAAUAAGGGUUGAAUCGAUUGACUUGCGACCAAAAACAAAUCAGUUGAACUAAGUUAAAAAAACUGGUUGAACUAGUUCUCUCCAUUUAUAUAUAUAUAAAUAAUAAUAGUCUUUUUUUGUACUAUAUGUCAAUUUUUAAUUGGUUAAUUUUUUUUUUCAUAUAAACUGAACGGUUUGACUAAUGACGGAGGUACCAAAUUAUAGUCUAGGUACCAAUUCAUGGGUUAAGCCUAUUUCUACAAUAGACUUUUGACUAAUGGCGGUAGUAACUUGGGAAAAAAAAAGUAGUUUAUGUACCACUUGUGACAAAAAAUAAGUUUAGGUACUAUCAUGGGAAAAUGAGUAUAAUUUAGAUACUAAUUUAUGAGUUAAGCCUAAUAUAUUUGCCACAUCAUUUUUUGAAAAUAACAGAACUUAAUAAAUUUAACGGUUAUUAUUUGAUGAUGACUAAAAUUUUUAAAUUUGAAAAGUACAUGAACUAAAAAUGACCAAAUUAAAGUAUAAAGAUUAAGUCCACAACUUUUGCAAAGUACAAGGACUAAUAGCAGAAAUUAACCUAAAUUUCAUAUGGGUCAAUUACAAUAAUAAUCACUAAACUAUUCCUUUGGUUCUAUUCUAGUCACUCAACUAUAGAGCUGCUCAUGAGCCGGGCCAGGUUAGGCCUAAGCAUGAUAUUAACGUACUUUAUGCUUGCUCAAGCUUGGCUCGGCCCGAAAUAUGAGCUUAAAAUUUCGCCUAAACUCAUCAAUAUUUGCAAAAGACUAACCCAAGCUCAUUUUAGGCAUGCCCAUAUAAUUUUUAGUUUUUUUUUUUUAAAUAUUUAUAUUAUAUUAUUUUAAGAAUUAAUAAUUUGAACUAUAGUAUUAUUAUAUAUUUAGUAUAAGUUUAUUUUUUAAUCUGUUCUAAAUUAUAUAAUAUAAAAUAUUAUACACUUAAAAACGGGCCGGGCUGGGCUCGAGCUUUAAAUGUUCAAGUCUUAACCCGGCCCAUAUUUUAAACGGGCUUAAUUUUUUUACCAAAACCCAAUUUUCGGGCCUAAUUUUUUUACUCAGACCCUCCCAAAUUUUGGGCUGCCCUUGGGCUUUGGCAAGUAGCCCAACUCAUGAACAAGUUUACUCAACUAUUAAUUUUUUCGAUUUAGUUGUUAACCUUUUCGAAAGUAAAUAUUUUAGUCAUUCUCCUAUUAGUUGUUGUUAAACGAGUGACGGAAAGCUGAUGUGGGCUUUUUUUAUUAGUCUAAUAACAAAUUUAGCCCUCCAAUGUUUACACAUUCUAUCAAUUUGAUCCUAGAUAUAAAAAAAUCAACAAAUUUAGCCCUGAAUGUUAACAAAACUUGUCAUUUUAGUUCAAAUUCUAAAAAAUUUAAUAAAUUUAACCCUUAAUAUUUUCAAAAAUUAGCAAUUUAGUUCUAAUUCUAAAAAUUUUAAUAUAUAUAUUUAAAAAAAUAUUUUUAAUCAUCUGUCUCACCCUUUGAUUUUUUAGAUGAGCUAAAAUCAAAAUGAGAUAAAAAAAAAUAAAAAGUUAAAAUGACUUUUCGUUUGUAAAGUUAAAAAAUGCUAAAUAAAUCAUUAUGUCUUUUUAGUUUUAAUUUUUUACUUGAUUAAAAGAGAAAUAAUUAACAAAUGAAAAAUAAUUAUUUCUAUAUAAAUUUAUCAAAAUUUAUAACAAAUGAUAUUUUAGAUUUGAAUUAUCAGACUAUAUAUAUAUAAGUAUACACAUUUUUAUGAAAUAAAAGAUUUUGCUAAAAGAAAAAGCAUCCAAUUUUAAGAAUGAAAAAUAUAUGGUAAAAGCAUCCAUAACUUUUCAAUGUUAAAGACAAAAAAGACUGUAACACCAAUGUUGUGGUAUUAUUUGUUGCCUAUAAAUACCAUUCCUAUCCUUCUUCUUCCUCUACCAACAUAACAUGGCCUCCUAUCUCUUUCUCUCCCUAUUCCUCUUCUUUCUCCAUCUUUAUGCUUCUUUUUCUUCUUCAGGAUCUCACUCCUGCUCUUCACUAAUCCAGUUUAAGGACUCCUUUUCCAUAAGAGAGGAUGCUUCUUUUGAUCAUUGCGAUUAUUUUGCUGGCCUUAAAUCUUAUCCCAAGACAAAUUCAUGGAAGGAGGGUACAGAUUGCUGCUCAUGGGAUGGGGUCACUUGUGACCACCUAAAUGCUCAUGUUAUUGCCCUUGACUUGAGCUGCAGUUGGCUAUAUGGCACCUUCCCUUCCAAUACCACUCUCUUCCUUCUUCCUCACCUUCAAAAACUCAACCUUGCCUACAAUGAUUUUAAUUCUUCCAAAAUUCCAUCCGAGUUCGGUCGGUUUACAAGCCUAUUCUACCUCAACCUUUCCAAUACAUGGUUUUCAGAAGUCCCAUCCCAAGUCUCCCACCUGUCAAAAUUGGUUUCACUUGAUCUUUCUGGGUUUGAUGAACUAUUAACAAUUGACAAAUAUGCUCUGGAGGGUCUUGUUCACAACCUAACCGAGGUCAGACGUCUGUUUUUGGAUGAAAUGGACAUGUCUUCAGUUAAUGCUCAUGUCUUCAUGAAUCUAUCCUCUUCUCUAAGGUCUCUCAGUCUUGUUGGUUGUGAUUUGCAAGGAAAAUUCCCAAAAAACAUUUUUGAUUUGCCAAACCUCAAUCUCCUCAACUUGGGAGGCAACCAAAACCUCAAUCUUGAUCCUUUGAAGUUCAAUCGGAGCAGCAAUCUUGAACAAUUGAUAAUUUCAGACGCAAAUAUUUGUGGAGGAUUGCCUGACUCGAUGGGGAAUCUUGUGUCCUUGAAGUUUUUAGUUCUCUCCCAUUCCAACUUAUCAGGACUGGUUCCAAGAUCACUGGGGAAUCUCUUGAAACUCACUCAUUUAGACUUGUCGGAGAACCAAUUGAGUGGACAAAUUCCAAGAAAAUUGGGGAACCUCUUGCAACUCACUCAUUUAGACUUGUCGAAGAACCAAUUGAGUGGACAAAUUCCAAGAUCAUUAGGGAACCUCUUGCAACUCACUCAUUUAGACUUGUGGCUGAACCAAUUGAGUGGACAGAUUCCAAGAUCAUUGGGGAACCUCUUGCAACUCACUGUUUUAGACUUGGGAUGGAACAAAUUGAGUGGACAAAUUCCAUUGUCAAUUCUAAACCUAACGCAGCUGGAAUACUUGACAAUAUCUAACAAUUCUUUAGAAGGUUCCAUUCCAGAUGAGGUAACCGCUUUUCAUAAUCUAAUAUAUUUAGACUUAUCUGACAAUUUACUCAAUGGAACACUGCCGUCAUGGUUGUAUACUGCUCCCUCCUUAAAGACAAUAUAUCUCUCUCAAAAUCAAUUCAGUGGGCAUAUCAAAGAAUUCCAAUCCAAAUCACUAGAAUGGAUAUGGUUAGAGAAUAAUAAACUCCAAGGUCCUCUUCCAUCUUCAAUAUUCCAACUUCUCAAUCUUACCCAACUUAGCUUAUCCUCAAAUUAUCUUAGUGGUGUCAUAGAGUUUCGCAUGUUCUCAAACCUUCCAAAUCUCGAAUAUCUUGACCUUUCAUAUAACAGCCUAUCCUUAACAUCUAAUACAACUUCUACUGUUAAUCUUACAAGCUUAUUUUUGUCAUCUUGCAAUCUUAGUGAAUUCCCCCAAUUUUUAAAAGGGCUUAAAAGUUUGGAAAGCUUAGACCUCUCUUGCAACAAAAUUGAAGGCAAGAUUCCACAGUGGAUGCGAGAGGUGGGGAAUGGCUCUUUGACUCACUUAAAUGUAUCUCACAACACUUUGACAGAAGUUGAGCACUUUCCAUGGAAGAAUAUUGAUGUUCUUGACUUAAGCUCCAAUUUGAUCAGUGGAAAUCUUCCGAUUCCAGCUUCGACCAUAAGAGUCUUUUUGAUCUCAAAUAAUAGUUUCAAUGGAGAGGUCUCUUCUUUAAUAUGCAAUGCCGCUUUUCUUGAAAUUCUUGAUUUGUCCCACAAUAACUUGAGUGGAACAAUUCCACAAUGUUUUGGAAAUUUGAGCAACAGCCUUCUAUUCUUGAAUCUGAAGAAGAACAAGUUUUAUGGGACGAUUCCUCCAGCAUUUGCAAAGGGAUGCCGAUUGAGUAAUUUCAACUUAAAUGGAAAUCUGUUAGAAGGGCCUUUGACACCAUCCAUGAUCCAUCCUUAAUUGUAAUGGUCUGGAAGUGCUAGAUCUUGGUAACAACAAGAUCAAUGAUACAUUUCCUCAUUGGUUGGGAAGUCUUCCACAGCUACAAGUUCUUGUAUUGAAGUCAAAUCAACUGCAUGGUUCCUUAUGUGUCAAUAGCUCCAAGUCUAUCCCUUUUUUCUCUAAAAUCCAAAUUUUUGAUCUCUCAAGUAAUUAUUUUUCUGGACCCCUACCAGUGAGAUACAUCAACAGCUUCAAGGCUAUCAUAAAUCUAGAGAAGAUUGGGAGUACAAUGUCGUACAUGGGGGUGUAUGCUCAGAGAGGUAGUGCCUUCUAUACCCAUUCCAUUGGAAUUGUUAUGAAAGGACAAGAUAGGGAAUUGGUGAAAAUUUUCACCAUGUGGAUGAUCAUUGAUCUAUCAAACAAUCAGUUUCAAGGGGGUAUUCCAAAGGUUAUUGUGAAGCUUAACUUGCUGAAAGGGCUCAACCUUUCUCAUAAUAACCUUAAUGGUGGUAUCCCCACCUCAAUAGGGAAUUUGACAAGUCUUGAAUGGUUAGACCUAUCUUCAAACAGUUUGUCUGGGACGAUUCCAAAUAGAUUGGCAGAUCUGCCAUUUCUUUCGUCCUUCAAUGUUUCUGAAAAUCAACUCCAUUGUCAGAUUCCUCAAGGCAAACAGUUCAACACAUUUGGAAAUGAUUCAUAUGAAGGAAACAAGGGAUUAUGUGGAUUUCCGGUCUCAAAAGGUUGCAACAUCAUUGAGCCAGCACCUCUAAAUGUGCUUGAAAAAGAUGGCUCAAAAUCAAACAUUACUUUUGGUUGGAAAGUGGUGUUGAUAGGUUAUGGAUGCGGAGUGGUGUUCGGAAUGUCCGUGGGAUAUGUUGUUUUCCAAACUGGUAAGCCGAAAUGGUUGGUGAAUUUGGUUGAAAUCCAACAUGAGAAGAAGCGAAGAAGAAAGUCAAAGGAUGGCAGUCGCAGCAAUGGAUGAAGAAGGAUCUAGUUAGUGGAAAUGAUGUUCAAGUGUUGAUGUUGUAUCUUCAUAAUUUCUUGUUUUGAAGUCUUUCAAUUUUUUUCCUAUGGUGAAAGGUUGCAUUGCCAUGCAUCUGUCUUUACUUUUGUAACAAUUCAUCUGUCAUAAUAUUAUAGAUUUUAUUGAUUUUAAUUUUUUCUCUAAUUUUUAAUAAAAAUAGGGGCAUAAUUGCUUUUUUUUUUUAAGUUUGAGAGUAUUUUUUAUGCAUUUUGAAAGUUCAAGUACCAAAUUGAGUGCAAAAAAAAAAAGAGUAGGGGCUUAAUUACUUUUUUUGAAAAUGUUUGAGAGCUUUUUUGAUGUAUCAAAUGAAAUACAAAUUUUGAGUAAAUCAACUAUUCAUUUUUAUGAAUAAAAAUUAUAUGGUAAAAAGGAAGUAGUGUUAAUAAUAAUAAAAAAGAUCAACAAUAGAAAACUAAUAAAGCAAUUUAGCCUAUGAUCUGCGCAAUAUAUUACUACAAAUGUACUGUACAAAAUAUUGAAGAAAACUAAUAAAGAAAUCUGAAAUUUUAACAAGUUCCGCAAAUAAUGUUUAUGAUUUGCUGUAAAUUGAUAUGUCAAAUUAGGCUCUCCAUCACACUUAAAAGUUUAUUUUCGAGCAAUUUAGAUAUCUUUGUUGCGUUUUUAUUUUGUUUUAGUUGUUUAUAUUAAUAAAUGAUUAGUGUGCAUUUUGAUGCUAUUUUAAGACCUGAGAUGGCCAAAUGGCACCCGGGGAAUCUAAUGAGGUUGGUGAGUGAUGCAGAGAGCCCAUGGUGGCCCGGAAGGAACGAAAAUGUUACCUAGAAAGAGGGUAUCGCAUUUCAAAGCAUGAAAGUCGUAAUACCCAUAACAAUGUUAAAAACAAGGAAGAUUGAGCCAUCAACAAUGUUAUCGUGAUACCGGUCAUAAGAUAUCGCGAUACCCAAAACUUCCAAGGAUCCCCCAAGACUGUUGUGGAUAUCGCGAUACCAAACUUUGGGUAUCGCAAUAUCAUUGAUGAGAGGAGACAAAAUAUAACUGUAGGGGUAAUCCUUUUCCAACAUGUGGAAUGGCCAUGGGAUGUGUUGUUUUCCAAACCGGUAAGGCGAAAAGGUUCGUGAAUUUGGCUGAAGACCAACAUGAGAAGAGGCGAAGAAGAAAGCCAAAAUAUAGCAAUCGCAUCAAUGGAUGAAGAAGGAUCUAGUUGGUUCAAAUGAAGUUAAAGCAUUUGUGCUGUGUCUUCAUAAUUUCUUGUUUAGUAGUCUGUCAGAAAGUUUUUCCUAUGGUGAAAAGUUGCAUUGCUAUGUGUCUGUUUUUAUGAUUGUACCAAUUCCUCUGUAUUUCAUUGCAUUUCGUACUAUUUGUAAGGGUUUAGUUCAGUGUAACAUCUUGUAUGGUGCAACUAUGUAUGUCUUCUUUCUUGAAUUUCAACUUUUAGUAAACAUUAUACUGCUCACCAUAAAAAAAAUACAUGUAGAAUUACAAAAGAUUCAAUUAUUCAAGUUUGAGUUGCAUUUAUAAACAUGUGAUGAUGAGAAUUCAUGAACAAAAGGUAUGGUUUGAGCCCUUUUGCAAUAUGCGUUUAUGUUGCAUUUACCUAUAUAUCUAUCGACAAAUUUAAGAGUAAUAUUUACAAUAGCAUUGCAGAGUAACAUAUUUACGAUUGGAUUACACAGUCAAAAGAUUGCAGCAACGAUGAGAUUAAUCCAAUUACAGGAAUUGAUAUCCUAAAUGGCUUUUAGGUACGUAGCUUCAUUGACGGUACAAACUAGUUAAAAUUUCCAGAAUUCAUGUCUUUGUUUUCCCUCAAGUAAACGUAGUCAAUACUGCAAAUGGUGUGGAAGUAUUGUACAUUGUGGCCCAAAUGUCCAAAAUUUCCACAUUGCUUGUAAAUUAAGUGAUGAAAACCAAAACUGUUUGAGGCAUCCAAUUACCCACAGAGAUAGGAAGUAAGGACGCAUGUAUAAUUAUUAUCAUUAAUUAAAGCAUAUAUAAUUACAUUAAAUAUAGGAUAAACUAUAAAAAUAAUCACUUUUAUUUACCUCAUAUUACAUUUUAGUCACUUAUGUUUGAAAUGUUACAUUUUGGUCACUUACGUUAUCGUUUUGGUACGAAGUGGUCACUCUACCGUUAAGCUCCGUUACCUCCCUAACGGCGAUUCUACGUGAUAGUCCAAAUGAGUUUUAAAUGCCAACUUAAAUGUCUUGCGUGGCUGUCUAAAUUAAAUUUAUUUAAUUAAAAACUUAUUUUCAUCUCAACAACCGGACAUUCAAGUUCGCAUUUAAAACCCAUUUAGACUGCCACGUAGGACUGCCGAUAGGGAGGUAACAGAGUUUGAUAGUAGAGUAACCACUUCAUAACAAAACGAUAAUGUAAGUGGCUAAAACAUAACAUUUCAAACAUAAGUAAUUAAAAUAUAAUAUAAGGUAAACAAGCCUUAAAUAUAUAAAUUACUAUGAUUACUAUCAAGAUAGCAUUGACCUGUUCAACAGGCGGAACCAAUAGAUCUGACCAUUUGGUGACUCUAGCAGUCGAUAAGUGUGAGUGGCAGACUGUGCAACUUGUAACUAUGUUAAUUGAUGAAAAGCUUUUUGAUAGAAGAUAAUAAACUAGUGGCAAUGGCAAACGGUUCCAAGACGAGGUGGGACACCGAGGCUUUGUGUAACAGGGGAAUAGAUGCACUCAAUGCUGGCGGCUGUUGACUUGUAUUUCUCUCUAACAAUUUAAAUCACCAGCUUGCUUCAUCCAUCUAUAAAUAAGGGUCUUCUUCAGUUUCAUAAAUGCAUAGAAAAUUAACAAGCUCAAAUUCCUUCUUUUCAUAUUCAUCUCUUUUACUUUGAAUUGCAACUUUAUCCUGCCUAAAUUCCUCAACCAUGAACCACCCAUCAGGACAGCCUCAAAAUGAACUUCCUUGGUCCGCCGGAUUCUGCGAUUGUUGCUCUGACCUGAAAACUUGUAACCCUUUCUUCUUUCUUCAAUAUCAGUUCUGUC